UACGAAGGGGGCUAGCGUUGUUCGGAAUUACUGGGCGUAAAGCGCGCGCAGGCGGCUCUUCAAGUCAGGGGUGAAAGCCCAGAGCUCAACUCUGGAACUGCCUUUGAGACUGAAAAGCUUGAGUACGGGAGAGGUGAGUGGAAUUCCCAGUGUAGAGGUGAAAUUCGUAGAUAUUGGGAAGAACACCGGUGGCGAAGGCGGCUCACUGGCCCGUUACUGACGCUCAGGCGCGACAGCGUGGGGAU
rnacentral:rRNA from 1 species